rfam:TPA: Bos taurus chromosome 20, whole genome shotgun sequence.
UCCCAGGUGGCUCAGUGGUAAAGAAUCUGCCUGCCAAUGCAGGAGACAUGGGUUCAAUCCCUGUGUUGGGAA